UACAGAGGGUGCGAGCGUUAAUCGGAAUUACUGGGCGUAAAGCGUGCGUAGACGGUUAUUUAAGUCGGAUGUGAAAGCCCCGGGCUCAACCUGGGAAUUGCAUUCGAGACUGAAUAGCUAGGGUACGGUAGAGGGAAGUGGAAUUUCUGGUGUAGCGGUGAAAUGCGUAGAUAUCGGAAGGAACAUCAGUGGCGAAAGCGACUUCCUGGACCAGUACCGACGUUCAGGCACGAAAGCUAGGGGAGCGAACAGG
rnacentral:rRNA from 1 species